rnacentral:rRNA from 1 species
UGGUCAAAUCACGCUGAAAACACCGGUUCUCGUUCGUUCGAUCACCGAAGUUAAGCAUCGUAGAGCCAGGUCCGGUACUUAGAUGGGGGAUGGGGAGACACCUGGUACUGUAA